GACGAACGCUGGCGGUGUGCUUAACACAUGCAAGUGGUGCGACGAACCAGAGCUUGCUCUGGGGCAAAGCCGCGAACGGGUGAGUAACACGUGGGUAAUCUACCCCGAUGACCGGGACAACCCGAGGAAACUCGGGCUAAUACCGGAUGUGGUGCGGAGACAUAAGUCUCUUCACUAAAGGUAGCUUCGGCUUCCGCAUUGGGAGGGGCCCGCGGCCCAUUAGCUUGUUGGUGGGGUCAAGGCCUACCAAGGCAACGAUGGGUAGCUGGUCGGAUAGGGCGAGCAGCCAGACGGGAAGUGAGACACGGUACAAACGCCUAGGGGAGGCAGCAAGGGGGAAUAGUGAGGAAUGGGCGAAAGCGUGACGGAGCAACGCCGGGUGAGGGAAGAAGGUCUGAGGAUCGGAAAACUCUGUUAGUAGGGACGAAGGAAGGCGGAAGGAAAUAUGAGCGGCUGGACGGGACCGUAAGAGAAAGCAACGGCUAACUACGUG
rnacentral:rRNA from 1 species